AACGAACGCUGGCGGCGUGCUUAACACAUGCAAGUCGAACGCGAAAGGGAUUUCGGUUCCCGAGUAGAGUGGCGCACGGGUGAGUAACGCGUAAGUAAUCUACCCUGGUACCUGGAAUAACUCAUCGAAAGGUGUGCUAAUGCCGGAUACGCUGGAGUCAGGAAAGGAGGCCUCUGCAUAUGCUUCCGUACUGGGAUGAGCUUGCGUACCAUUAGCUAGUUGGUAGGGUAAUGGCCUACCAAGGCAACGAUGGUUAGCGGGUCUGAGAGGAUGACCCGCCACACUGGAACUGGAACACGGACCAAACUCCUACGAGAGGCAGCAGUGAGGAAUAUUGCGCAAUGGGGGCAACCCUGACGCAGCGACGCCGCGUGGAUGAUGAAGGCCUUCGGGUCGUAAAAUCCUGUCAGAUGGAAAGAACGGCCUUUGUGCUAAUAUCACAGAGGAAUGACGGUACCAUCAAAGGAAGCACCGGCUAACUCCGUGCCAGCCGCCGCAGUAA
rnacentral:rRNA from 1 species